rnacentral:rRNA from 1 species
AUGCUCCCGCGGCCCAGCCAUCCCCUCGUGCACCCGGACCCGGAGGUUGCUGCUGCUGCGGCGGCGGCGGAGCAGGGGCAGGCUCCGGCUGCAGGAGCUCAGGGCCCGGCUCCAGCUGCAGCGGUGGCUCAGGGGCAGCCGGCUGCGGCGGCGGCGCAGGGGCAGGCGAUUGUGGCGGCGCAGGGGCAGGGGCAGGGGGUUGUAGCAGCUCAGGGGCAGGGGCAGGGCCCGGCUCCGGCUGCGGCGGCGCAGGGGGGAAACGCGAACGGGGACGCGCCGCCGCCCGGGGUGCUGAUGGUGGACCUGCUGGGGGCGCCGGGGACGCGCUGGGGGCUCGGCACCCGCCUCGCGCAGGCCGUCUUCGCGGCCGCCGCCGUCGCCUCCAUGGCCUCCACCGACGACUUCCGCGUCGUCACCGCCUUCAGCCUCCUCAUCGCAGCAGCAAGCCUGCAAUGCCUGUGGAGCCUUGCUCUGGGCGCUGUGGACAUCUACGCACUUCUUGUCAAGCGUGCCUUCCGGUCUCCUCGAGCUACCACCAUGUACUCCAUCGGGGACUGGGUAAGUCACAUAUUUUCUCAGGCACCUCAGAACAAAACCGCCCUCUGUCACUCAUUCCUUGUGGUCUCUUGCACUAGAAAAGCUUUACAUACCUGA